CCUACGGGUGGCAGCAGUGGGGAAUAUUGCACAAUGGGGGGAACCCUGAUGCAGCGACGCCGCGUGGGGGAAGAAGCGCCUCGGCGCGUAAAGCCCUGUCAGCAGGGAAGACAAUGACGGUACCUGAAGAAGAAGCCCCGGCUAACUACGUGCCAGCAGCCGCGGUAAUACGUAGGGGGCAAGCGUUAUCCGGAGUUACUGGGUGUAAAGGGGGCGCAGGCGGGGAUGCAAGCCAGGUGUGAAAGCCUGGGGCCCAACCCCGGGACUGCUCUUGAAACUGCGUGGCUGGAGUGAAGGAGGGGCAGGCGGAAUGCGUGGUGUAGCGGUGAAAUGCGUAGAUAUCAGGAGGAAUACCGGUGGCGAAGGCGGCCUGCUGGACCGCAACUGACGUUGAGGCCCGAAAGCGUGGGGAGCAAACAGGAUUAGAUACCCCUGUAGUC
rnacentral:rRNA from 1 species